AAAUAUUUUCUGAAUCAGUCAGUCAGUCGUGCGUUGGCAUGCAUACCAGAAGUCAGCCAACUUGUCGGCGGCAGCAGCUAUACAAAACAAAUUAAAAUUUAUAGACUAACCAACUCAACUCGGGUUGUUGUUAAUCGAGUCGAGUCAUGGUGGUGGUGUCGGUGAUGAUGAUGAUGACGACGACAACGUCAGCGACAGGAAAAAUAGCGAAUCGGCCGGCCGGCCAGACAGUGUCUGUUCAGUGGUGGAGAAAAAUAACUUGAUACUACGUCGGCAUUUUUGCAAAACAAUGCAAAAAUGUAAGGCCAUAAUAAAACUAUGACGGCGUUGGCUGGUUGGUUUGGAAGAGAGCCAUCAUCCAUUCAGAGACGGCGGCGACCACAGCUACAAUUAACGGCCAUGACAAACAAAAACUGUUGUUGGCUGGCUGACUGGUUGGUUGGUUGCGCAUCAUUCGUUUGUUCAUUGCCUGCCCGCCUGCUGCCCCUGCUUCUUGGUUGAUUUCUUGCUUAUUAAUCGUAUCGUGUGGGGAAUUAAGAAAACACCCCCUUCCGUUGAUUCGUGACAACAAGACAAAAAUGCGCUCGCUAAGGAGGAGGAUGAUGAUGGUGGUGGUGGCAACAAAAUAUGUUGAUGGUGCACAAAACAAACAGCUUUGACGGCGGCAUCUGUCUGGCUCGUCGUCGUUAAAAUCUCAUCGAAAUCGAGAUUCGAUAUUCGAGGGAAAAAUUAGGCAAACAGCAUUAAUAGUAGGUGUUAUCGCCGCAGAAAAAUAGCCCCCAACAAAACAAAGCAGGCACGAACCAACAAAACGAAACUUGUCAGCAACGCAAAACAAAAGAGGCGCACUCGGUCAAUAACACAAGCAACCAACACAGAGGCAUGCAUGCAGGCAACCAAACAACAACACACACUCGUUUACACUUGAAAUUUCAAUGAGAAAGACAGAGAGCGAGAGAGAGAGCACGAGACUUUAUUUGCCGUAAUGGGUGUGCUCUUUCGCUCACCCAACAUGUGCGAUAUGCAUGAGUUGUGUGUCGCCGCCACUACUCAUCAACAUUCGUGUUCGUCGUGUUCUUUUCAGAUAUCAUUAUUUUUACUUCGGGUUUGCUCGCUUUUUCUUUUGGGCGCCGCAUCAUUCAUUUGUUGGGCCCGCCGUUAUUAGUUUGUUUACAUCGAGAACGCACGCCAUCAUCAUCGACCGACCGCCACAAUUUUUAUUAUUGUUUGCCGCCGUCAUCACACGUUGUCGAACCAACCAGCUGACUUGUUGUGUGUAACGUUGGUUGCGGUGCUUCCACGUUUCAGCACAAGCAACAGUCAUUCUCAUUUCGUUUCUUGGUUGCGCCAUCAACCUGACGACAACGUGUAACCGCCAAUGUACUAGGCGACCAGAAUUGCCAUAUGAGAUUAUAGCAAGCUGCAAAAAAUGGCAAGCAAACCGAUUUUGUUCCGUAUACACUGGUGGUGUAUACACGUGAGAUAGAAGAGAGACAAAACGAACGAAGCGACAGACAACAACACAUUUCGUUUCAACGAGAAACGAUGAAUCGAGAGGGAAAAUAUAGCAAAUGUGUUUGAGUGGCAUGGUUUGUUUUAUUUGUUUUGGGGUGAGAGGGCAAUGUGUAGAUGAGACGUACGCAAAUAUGUGUGUGUGUGUAAUCACACAUUGAGCACUUAAUCACACAGUGGGUUAUAUUUGAAAAAAUACUUCAAAUUAUUUACGAAACGAUUUGUUAGCCCCUAAGGUCGUCAUUUUGUAUACAUCGGCAUUCCACAUACAUAGUAUGUAUAUGUGUAUUAAGUUAUUCAUUCUGUUUGUAACUCAUCGAAAUAAUGUUUUUUUACCCUAUAAACACCCCGAUUCUUAAUGACAAUUCCCUGGGAAUUUUUUCCCUAUUCCCUGUUCCCCUAUUCUAAAUAAAAUCUCCCGGGGAAUUUUUUCCCUUCUCCCUUAUUCUAAAUGAACUUCGAAAAUGGGAAACUCUUCCCCGGGAAAAAAGUAGGUAUUAUGAAUGUCAAUAAAAGGGCGAAUGUGAUAACGAAUUUUGGGAAUAAUUCCGCCAAAAAAUUGCAAGCGAGUUGUGCCAAAAAAUGUAA
rnacentral:sRNA from 1 species